rnacentral:rRNA from 1 species
GAGUUUGAUCCUGGCUCAGAACGAACGCUGGCGGCAGGCCUAACACAUGCAAGUCGAGCGAACUCUUCGGAGUUAGCGGCGGACGGGUGAGUAACGCGUGGGAAUAUGCCCAAAGGUACGGAACAACAGUUGGAAACGACUGCUAAUACCGUAUGUGCCCUACGGGGGAAAGAUUUAUCGCCUUUGGAUUAGCCCGCGUUGGAUUAGCUAGUUGGUGGGGUAACGGCCCACCAAGGCGACGAUCCAUAUCUGGUUUGAGAGGAUGAUCAGACACACUGGGACUGAGACACGGCCCAGACUCCUACGGGAGGCAGCAGUGGGGAAUCUUGGACAAUGGGGGCAACCCUGAUCCAGCCAUGCCGCGUGAGCGAUGAAGGCCUUAGGGUUGUAAAGCUCUUUCACCGGUGAAGAUAAUGACGGUAGCCGGAGAAGAAGCCCCGGCUAACUCCGUGCCAGCAGCCGCGGUAAUACGGAGGGGGCUAGCGUUGUUCGGAAUUACUGGGCGUAAAGCGCGCGUAGGCGGGCUGUUAAGUCGGGGGUGAAAUCCCGGGGCUCAACCCCGGAACUGCCCUCGAUACUGGCAGCCUAGAGGAUGAGAGAGGCGAGUGGAA